CCUACGGGAGGCAGCAGUGGGGAAUUUUGGACAAUGGGCGAAAGCCUGAUCCAGCAAUGCCGCGUGCAGGAUGAAGGCCUUCGGGUUGUAAACUGCUUUUGUACGGAGCGAAAAGGUCCUUCCUAAUACGAGGGGCCCAUGACGGUACCGUAAGAAUAAGCACCGGCUAACUACGUGCCAGCAGCCGCGGUAAUACGUAGGGUGCGAGCGUUAAUCGGAAUUACUGGGCGUAAAGCGUGCGCAGGCGGUUAUAUAAGACAGAUGUGAAAUCCCCGGGCUCAACCUGGGACCUGCAUUUGUGACUGUAUAGCUAGAGUACGGUAGAGGGGGAUGGAAUUCCGCGUGUAGCAGUGAAAUGCGUAGAUAUGCGGAGGAACACCGAUGGCGAAGGCAAUCCCCUGGACCUGUACUGACGCUCAUGCACGAAAGCGUGGGGAGCAAACAGGAUUAGAUACCCUGGUAGUCCACGCCCUAAACGAUGUCAACUGGUUGUUGGGUCUUCACUGACUCAGUAACGAAGCUAACGCGUGAAGUUGACCGCCUGGGGGAGGACGGCCGGCGAGUUAGUUAACGUACGAAUUAGUAAGUUAGACGGCGUGAGACGUUGCCGACGGACGACGACGAGGGAGGAGG
rnacentral:rRNA from 1 species